GACGAACGCUGGCGGCGUGCUUAACACAUGCAAGUCGAACGGAAAGGCCCUGCUCUUGUGGGGUGCUCGUGUGGCGAACGGGUGAGUAAAACGUGAGUAACCUGCCCUUGACUUUGGGAUAACUUCAGGAAACUGGGGCUAUUACAGGAUAGGAGAUACUGCUGCAUGGUGGGGGUUGGUAAGUUUCGGCGGUUGUGGAUGGACUGGCGGCUUAUCCGCUUGUUGGUGGGGUAGUGGCUUACCAAGGCUUUGACGGGUAGCCGGCCUGAGAGGGGGGCCGGCGACAUGGGGACUGAGAGACGGCCCAGACGGCUACGUGAGGCAGCAGGGGGGAAUAUUGCAGAAUGAGCGGAAGCGUGAGGCAGCAACGCCGCGUGCGGGAUAACGGCCUUCGGGUGGUAAACCGCUGUCGCCGGUGACGAAGCGUGAGUGACGGUAAUGGGUAAGGAAGCACCGGCUAACUACGUG
rnacentral:rRNA from 1 species